rnacentral:rRNA from 1 species
CGGGAACUCGAGUCUUUGACGCAGUUGCGCCCGAAGCCAUUAGGCCGAGGGCACGCCUGCCUGGGCGUCA